AUACGGAGGAUCCGAGCGUUAUCCGGAUUUAUUGGGUUUAAAGGGUGCGCAGGCGGGAGAUUAAGUCGGCGGUGAAAUUUUGCAGCUCAACUGUAAAAGUGCCUUCGAAACUGGUUUCCCUGAGGGUAGAUGAAGGAGGCGGAAUUUUUGGGGGAGCGGUGAAAUGCAUAGAUAUCACGAGGAACUCCGAUUGCGCAGGCAGCUUACUAAACUACUACUGACGCUCAGGCACGAAGGCGUGGGGAUCAAACAGGAUUAGAUACCCUGGUAGUCCACGCAGUAAACGAUGAUUACUAGCUGUUUGCGAUACAAUGUAAGCGGCUGAGCGAAAGCGUUAAGUAAUCCACCUGGGGAGUACGUUCGCAAGAAUGAAACUCAAAGGAAUUGACGGGG
rnacentral:rRNA from 1 species